GAUGAACGCUAGCUACAGGCUUAACACAUGCAAGUCGAGGGGAAACGAUAUUGGAAGCUUGCUUCCGAUAGGCGUCGACCGGCGCACGGGUGAGUAACGCGUAUCCAACCUGCCCAUCACUUGGGGAUAACCUUGCGAAAGUAAGACUAAUACCCAAUGACGUCUCUAGAAGACAUCUGAAGGAGAUUAAAGAUUUAUCGGUGAUGGAUGGGGAUGCGUCUGAUUAGCUUGUUGGCGGGGUAACAGCCCACCAAGGCGACGAUCAGUAGGGGUUCUGAGAGGAAGGUCCCCCACAUGGGAACUGAGACACGAUCGAAACUCCUACGGAAGGCAGCAGUGAGGAAUAUUGGUCAAUGGACGAGAGUCUGAACCAGCCAAGUAGCGUGCAGGAUGACGACCCUAUGGGUUGUAAACUGCUUUUAUAAGGGAAUAAAGUGAGUCUCGUGAGACUUUUUGCAUGUACCUUAUGAAUAAGGACCGGCUAAUUCCGUGCCAGCCGCCGCCGUAA
rnacentral:rRNA from 1 species